CACAGGUAGCGUUUUGAAUUUCGCCUCAGUGUUUGCAACGUUUGAAUUCACUCAUGAUUAGUCAUAUAUAGCGACUCUAAACAAAUCCCUAGAUGUUGCAAAGUACCAGUAAGCUUCAAAUUUCGAGCUAUAUCAUGAAACAAAAUAUCUCUAUAUUGACACAAUUGCCCCAAAAUCUCAAAGGGAGUGAUGAUUGAAACCCAAGUGAUCUAGCAGUGUCAAGAAUGUAUUUAUUAUGGGGUAUACAUACAUGAUCUCUCACGAAUGAUGCCAAAUUCCUUGAGUAAAUGCUGAAACUGAGUUGGAGAAACAAUCUCGAAACCACAGAUAGAAUAUGUCAAUCGAUCCCAUUGAUGUUCCUGACCCGGUAAACAUUCUGCAAGGAUUGAAAAUGAGCAUGACUGGGCAGAUAACCAGAAGGACCGAAUAAAAGCUGUUAAGAAUGUGAGCACCUAAUUUUUAACUAUAUUUGAGAUUUUUUAAUACUUUUCAGUUGUUAAUAAUU